UCGCCUGUUUAUCAAAAACAUGGUUUCUUGAUUUAUUUAUGAGAGAUUUAACCUGCCCACUGAAAAGUUUUGAAGGGCCGCAGUAUUUUGACUGUGCAAAGGUAGCAUAAUCAUUAGUCUUUUAAUUGAAGGCUGGUAUGAAUGGUUGGACGAGGUAAAAUCUGUUUUAUACUAAUUAUGUUGAAUUUAGAUUUUGAGUAAAAAUACUCAAAUAAUAUUAAGGGACGAGAAGACCCUAUAGAGUUUAAUAUUUAAAGUUUUAAUUGAGUUAAAUUUAAAUUUUUGGUUAUUAUGAUAAUUAUUUAAUUGGGGUGAUUAAAAGAUAAAUAAAACUCUUUUUUAAUAUUAAUAAUUUUAUUAAUUUAUUGAUCCAUAAAUUAUGAUUAUAAGAUUAAAUUACCUUAGGGAUAACAGCAUAAUUUUUUUUAAGAGUUCUUAUCGAAAGAAAAGAUUGUGACCUCGAUGUUGGAUUAAGAUUAAUAUUGGGUGUAGAUGUUCAAUUAUUAGGUCUGUUCGACCUUUAAAUUCUUACAUGAUCUGAGUUCAAACCGGAGA
rnacentral:rRNA from 1 species